rnacentral:rRNA from 1 species
UACGUAGGUUGCGAGCGUUAUUCGGAUUUACUGGGCGUAAAGAGCACCGAGGUGGCUUCUUAAGUUGGAUCUAAAAUCUCCUGGCUUAACUGGGAGGCGCCAUUCAAAACUGAGGAGCUUGAGGUCAGCAGGGGAAGGUGGAAUUCCCGGUGUAGUGGUGGAAUGCGUAGAGAUCGGGAGGAACACCAGUGGCGAAAGCGGUUACCUGGGGCUUUGCUGACGCUGAUGCGCGAAAGCGUGGGGAGCGAUCCGG